UACGAAGGGGGCUAGCGUUGUUCGGAAUCACUGGGCGUAAAGGGCGCGUAGGCGGCUUUAUAAGUCGGGGGUGAAAGCCUGUGGCUCAACCACAGAAUUGCCUUCGAUACUGUAGAGCUUGAGACCGGAAGAGGUAAGUGGAACUGCGAGUGUAGAGGUGAAAUUCGUAGAUAUUCGGAAGAACACCAGUGGCGAAGGCGGCUCACUGGUCCGGUACUGACGCUGAGGCGCGAAAGCGUGGGGAGCAAACGGG
rnacentral:rRNA from 1 species